rnacentral:tRNA from 1 species
GCCUUCAUGGUGUAGUGGUCAGCACACUUGGUGCAUACUCAAGAGGUCAAUGGUUCGAGUCCCGUUGAGGGCA